rnacentral:tRNA from 1 species
GGAGAGGUCGCAUAGUGGUCUAGUGCGCCGCACUCGAAAUGCGGUGUGGGGCAACUCACCGAGGGUUCGAAUCCCUCCCUCUCCGCCA